rnacentral:rRNA from 1 species
CCUACGGGUGGCAGCAGUGAGGAAUAUUGGUCAAUGGCCGGAAGGCUGAACCAGCCAAGCCGCGUGAAGGACGAAGGUGCCAAGCAUUGUAAACUUCUUUUGUCAAGGGACAAAAUCAGGCUCGAGAGCCUGACCGAGGGUACUUGAAGAAACAGCAUCGGCUAACUCCGUGCCAGCAGCCGCGGUAAUAUGGAGGAUGCGAGGGUUAUCCGGAUUUAUUGGGUUAAAGGGGUGCGUAGGCGGACUGUUAAGUCAGCGGUAAAAGCCCGGGGCUAAACCCCGGCGUGCCGUUGAAACUGGCUGGCUUGAGAGGACGAGGGGUAUGCGGAAUGCGCAGUGUAGCGGUGAAAUGCUUAGAUAUUAGGAGGAACACCAGUGGCGAAGGCGGCUUACUGGACUGUAACUGACGUUGAGGCUCGAAAGCGUGGGGAGCAAACAGGAUUAGAUACCCGAGUAGUC